rnacentral:rRNA from 1 species
AGCGAACGUUUGCGGCGGGCCUAACACAUGCAAGUCGAACGCACUAGCAAUAGUGAGUGGCGCACGGGUGCGUAACACGUGGGUAAUCAACCCUUCAGCUUGGGAUAACGACUUGAAAGGGUCGCUAAUACCGGAUACGGCGCGGGAGGCUUCGGCUUCUCACGAGAAAGCCUCGCAAGGGGCACUGAAGGACGAGCCUGCGGCCCAUCAGCUAGUUGGUGAGGUAAGAGCUCACCAAGGCGAAGACGGGUAGCUGGUCUGAGAGGAUGAUCAGCCACACUGGAACUGAGACACGGUCCAGACUCCUACGGGAGGCAGCAGUGGGGAAUAUUGCGCAAUGGGCGAAAGCCUGACGCAGCCACGCCGCGUGAGCGAUGAAGGCCUUCGGGUCGUAAGACUCUGUGGGGAGAGACGAAGAAAGCCCGUGAAGAGCGGGCCUUGACGGUAGUCUCCUUAGCAAGCACCGGCUAACUCCGUGCCAGCAGCCGCGGUAA